rnacentral:rRNA from 1 species
AGCGAACGCUGGCGGCAGGCCUAACACAUGCAAGUCGAACGAACAGACCGGGGUUUGGCGCGGACGGGGUUAGAACACGACGGAACGGGAAUUUAUGUACGGAAUAACUAAAAGAAACGGGUAAUAAUAGCGAAUGUGACCUUCUGGGGAAAGAUUAAUCGAACUUAGAGCGGCCCGCGUCAGAUUAGCUAGUUGAUUGAGGUAAUGGCUCACCAAGGCGACGAUCAGUAGCUGGUAAGAGAGGAGGAUCAGACACAUUGGCACUGGGACACAGCCGAAACUCCUACGGGAGGCAGCAGUGGGGAAUCUUGCGCAAUGGGCGAAAGCCUGACGCAGCCAGGCCGCGUAAAUGAUGAAAGUCUUAAGAUAGUAAAGUUCUUUCACCUGUGACGGUCUUGACGGUACCCGGAGAAGAAGCCCCGGCUAACUACGUG